GGAAUUUUGGACAAUGGGCGAAAGCCUGAUCCAGCAAUGCCGCGUGCAGGAUGAAGGCCUUCGGGUUGUAAACUGCUUUUGUACGGAACGAAACGGUCUUUUCUAAUAAAGAAGGCUAAUGACGGUACCGUAAGAAUAAGCACCGGCUAACUACGUGCCAGCAGCCGCGGUAAUACGUAGGGUGCAAGCGUUAAUCGGAAUUACUGGGCGUAAAGCGUGCGCAGGCGGUUAUGUAAGACAGUUGUGAAAUCCCCGGGCUCAACCUGGGAAUUGCAUCUGUGACUGCAUAGCUAGAGUACGGUAGAGGGGGAUGGAAUUCCGCGUGUAGCAGUGAAAUGCGUAGAUAUGCGGAGGAACACCGAUGGCGAAGGCAAUCCCCUGGACCUGUACUGACGCUCAUGCACGAAAGCGUGGGGAGCAAACAGGAUUAGAUACCCCUG
rnacentral:rRNA from 1 species